rnacentral:rRNA from 1 species
UACAGAGGUCCCAAGCGUUGUUCGGAUUCACUGGGCGUAAAGGGUGCGUAGGUGGUGAGGUAAGUCGGAUGUGAAAUCUCCGGGCUCAACCCGGAAACUGCAUUGGAAACUACCUUGCUUGAGGAUUUGAGGGGGGAUUGGAAUACUUGGUGUAGCAGCGAAAUGCGUAGAUAUCAAGUGGAACACCAGUGGCGAAGGCGAAUCCCUGGAAAAUACCUGACACUGAGGCACGAAAGCUUGGGGAGCAAACAGG